UUUAAUGGCUACCAGUGGUGUCUUUUGUUGUAUGUUGCAGGUGAGCAGGAUGAGGUCAACUAGCCACCUAGACAACCAUUGCCGAAAUAUCGAUGAGCCCUUGGCGGAACCACUGUAGGCAAUGAAGAGGCGUGUAGUGGCCCUAAAGUCCUUCAUGUGUGUCAUAUAGAACAAGAGAGCCCUGCGCAUGUCCAGAGAAUGCAUGGCCUUUUCCAGGGCUGACUGCAGGUUCCAGAAAAAGGUGGAACCACGUGUCAUUUACCAGUCUUGAAUGCGAAAGCACAGUCAAUAACCAAAGAAUUGGGAGCAGGGUGCUUCAAGAGAACACUGAAGAACUCACGAGGAACUUUCAGAUGGAGAGGCAGCAGACCGAGGUCCAAAUGCAAAGGCGGUCAGAAAAGAACAGAGGAACAUGGCACCAAGCCCGCUCUUAAAUGGCACGCGGGGCUUGGACACCUUGACAAGCUGAGGCAUGGCUACCAUGGGGUUUCCUGCACAGGCGCAGAACCCACUCUUAUGGCUGUCGACGGAUCUCGAUCCAGAUCAGUUCCCUUUUGAUGCUGUCUUUAUCAGUACGGCUUCACAUGAUACAUACCAAGCCAAACUGUGGGUUCCCAGAUGAACUUGGUGCGUGUCAUAUGAAGCCUCCCUCAGUAUCUUUUAGAAGGCAAAUAGCAUUUUAAAUCCAGAUAUGGACCAAAGUGGUUGUUUUUGUUUCCUUUACUAUAUUAGAGUGUAUGUCUUAUGGCAGAUUUCCCAUAGUUCAAAUCAAUAUGUUAAUUUCUAACUCUACCACUUCUCUCUUUGGCAUUACCAAGGACUAAAGCUCUACUGUGCUGCCUCAACAGCACCACGGGUUUGGUAUGCAUGCAAGUAGCAAGCCAGGUUAAUAUUGUUAGACUUUAUGUUGGUGUAUAUAACUCUAGAAGAAUAAUUUAGCCUAUGUUGUUAGAUGAAGCAGAAGCAUGUUGAUCACGUAAGCAGAGAACAGC